rnacentral:pre_miRNA from 1 species
GAUUUCAAAUGGAAAUAUGGUCAAAAACAAAGUUGAUCUUCCCAUCAGGAUCUACAACUUUUAUUUUGGUCACUUCUUCAUCCAACAAAGUGAUACUACCAAUGUUUACAAAAUUGACAUAUCUGUGUUGAUAUUUAUAAACCAGAUGAGAGAAAUGUGAUUAUUGUGAAUAGUAUAACUAUCACUUUGUCGGAUGAAGAAGUGACCAAAAUAAAAGUUGUAGAUCCUGAUGAGAGGAUCAACUUUGUUUUUGACCAUAUUUCCAUUUGAAAUC